rnacentral:rRNA from 1 species
UACGGGGGGGGGCAAGCGUUGUUCGGAAUUACUGGGCGUAAAGGGCUCGUAGGUGGCCAACUAAGUCAGACGUGAAAUCCCUCGGCUUAACCGGGGAACUGCGUCUGAUACUGGAUGGCUCGAGUUUGGGAGAGGGAUGCGGAAUUCCAGGUGUAGCGGUGAAAUGCGUAGAUAUCAGGAGGAACACCGAUGGCGAAGGCAGGUCACUGGGCCGCAACUGACGCUGAGGAGCGAAAGCAUGGGGGAGCGAACAGG